AGUGUGGAUGAUGAAAACCCGUCCUUAGGUUGGUCUUUUUUUUAGCCUUUUUGGUUAAAGCCUUUGACCUUCCCGUGUUAGGAUUCGUCAUAGUUACACUGACACAUU